rnacentral:tRNA from 1 species
GGGCUCGUAGCUCAAUGGCGGAGCGGCUGGCUCAUAACCAGUUGGUUGUAGGUUCGAAUCCUACCGAGCCCA